rnacentral:rRNA from 1 species
UAGUUGGUGAGGUAAUGGCUCACCAAGGCAAUGACGCCUAACUGGUUUGAGAGGAUGAUCAGUCACACUGGAACUGAGACACGGUCCAGACUCCUACGGGAGGCAGCAGUGGGGAAUAUUGCACAAUGGAGGAAACUCUGAUGCAGCAACGCCGCGUGGAGGAUGACACUUUUCGGAGCGUAAACUCCUUUUAUAUAGGAAGAUAAUGACGGUACUAUAUGAAUAAGCACCGGCUAACUCCGUGCCAGCAGCCGCGGUAAUACGGAGGGUGCAAGCGUUACUCGGAAUCACUGGGCGUAAAGAGCGUGUAGGCGGGUUAAUAAGUUGGAAGUGAAAUCCUAUAGCUCAACUAUAGAACUGCUUUCAAAACUGUUAACCUAGAAUAUGGGAGAGGUAGAUGGAAUUUCUGGUGUAGGGGUAAAAUCCGUAGAGAUCAGAAGGAAUACCCGAUUGCGAAGGCGAUCUACUGGAACAUUAUUGACGCUGAGACGCGAAAAGCGUGGGGAGCAAACAGGAUUAGAUACCCUGGUAGUCCACGCCCUAAACGAUGUACACUAGUUGUUGCGAUGCUAGACAUUGCAGUAAUGCAGUUAACACAUUAAGUGUACCGCUGGGGAGUACGGUCGCAAGAUUAAAACUCAAAGGAAUAGACGGGGACCCGCACAAGCGGUGGAGCAUGUGGUUUAAUUCGACGAUACGCGAAGAACCUUACCUGGACUUGACAUUUACAGAAUUUUUCAGAGAUGAAUUAGUGUCUGCUUGCAGAAACUGUAGGACAGGUGCUGCACGGCUGUCGUCAGCUCGUGUCGUGAGAUGUUGGGUUAAGUCCCGCAACGAGCGCAACCCACGUCGUUAGUUGCCAACAGUUCGGCUGAGAACUCUAACGAGACUGCCUGGGCAACCAGGAGGAAGGUGUGGACGACGUCAAGUCAUCAUGGCCCUUACGUCCAGGGCUACACACGUGCUACAAUGGGGCAUACAAAGAGCAGCGAUACCGCGAGGUGGAGCAAAUCUCAAAAAUGCCUCCCAGUUCGGAUAGUAGUCUGCAACUCGACUACUUGAAGUUGGAAUCGCUAGUAAUCGUAGAUCAGCAAUGCUACGGUGAAUACGUUCCCGGGUCUUGUACUCACCGCCCGUCACACCAUGGGAGUUGAACUCAUUCGAAGCGGGGAUGCUAAGAUAGCUACCCUCCACAGUGGAUUCAGCGACUGGGGUG